GGAAGAGAUGCUGGGUGGGGAGAGUUAGGGAUCAGGGAGGAGCUCUGAGCCAACACUGGAACACCCUUGGGACGCUCUCACCUUGUAGACACCGGGUCUGUCGGACCUCCUGAAAGCUUCUAGAGUUCGCUGACAUUCCUCAGGCCAUGACUUCCUUCCAUCUUCAAAGCCAGCUCUGGCUAGGAUCACCAGCUCUGAGGACAAUGGAAGCUGGGAGGUGCCUCUGGCCACCUCUGUCACCACUAAGAAAAGCCUGCCUGGAGUGGUAGCCGGUGCAUAGAUGAGCAAGGACAUGAAAUGCAGAGAAACAGACGGAGGAAUAGGCCCCCCCGCACCCAGCC